rnacentral:rRNA from 1 species
AACGAACGCUGGCGGCAUGCCUAACACAUGCAAGUCGAACGAGACCUUCGGGUCUAGUGGCGCACGGGUGCGUAACGCGUGGUAACCUGCCCUUAGGUUCGGAAUAACUCCCCGAAAGGGGUGCUAAUACCGGAUAAUGUCUUCGGACCAAAGAUUUAUCGCCUUUGGAUGGGCCCGCGUUGGAUUAGCUAGUUGGUAGGGUAAAAGCCUACCAAGGCGAGGAUCCAUAGCUGGUCUGAGAGGAUGAUCAGCCACACUGGGACUGCGACACGGCCCAGACUGCUACGGAAGGCAGGAGUGGGGAAUAUUGGACAAUGGGCGAAAGCCUGAUCCAGCAAUGCCGCGUGAGUGAUGAAGGCCGUAGGGUUGUGAAGCUCUUUUACACGGGAUGAUAAUGACAGUACCGGGAGAAUAAGCACCGGCUAACUACGUG